rnacentral:rRNA from 1 species
UUAAGUGACUAAGCGUACACGGUGGAUGCCUGGGCAGUCAGAGGCGAUGAAGGACGUACUAACUUGCGAUAAGCGCAGAUAAGGCAGUAAGAGCCGUUUGAGUCUGCGAUUUCCGAAUGGGGAAACCCAACUGCAUAAGCAGUUACUGUUAACUGAAUACAUAGGUUAACAGAGCAAACCGGGGGAACUGAAACAUCUAAGUACCCCGAGGAGAAGAAAUCAACCGAGAUUCCGGUAGUAGCGGCGAGCGAACCUGGAUUAGCCCUUAAGCACUCGGUGAAGUAGGUGAACAAGCUGGAAAGCUUGGCGAUACAGGGUGAUAGCCCCGUAACCGACGCUUCAUCGAGCGUGAAAUCGAGUAGGGCGGGACACGUGAUAUCCUGUCUGAAUAUGGGGGGGACCAUCCUCCAAGGCUAAAUACUCCUGACUGACCGAUAGUGAACCAGUACCGUGAGGGAAAGGCGAAAAGAACCCCUGUGAGGGGAGUGAAAUAGAACCUGAAACCGUGUACGUACAAGCAGUAGGAGCACCUUCGUGGUGUGACUGCGUACCUUUUGUAUAAUGGGUCAGCGACUUAUAUUCAGUGGCAAGGUUAACCGUAUAGGGGAGCCGUAGCGAAAGCGAGUCUUAACUGGGCGCUCAGUCUCUGGAUAUAGACCCGAAACCGGGUGAUCUAGCCAUGGGCAGGUUGAAGGUUGAGUAACAUCAACUGGAGGACCGAACCGACUAAAUGUUGAAAAAUUAGCGGAUGACUUGUGGCUAGGGGUGAAAGGCCAAUCAAACUCGGAGAUAGCUGGUUCUCCCCGAAAGCCUAUUUAGGUAGCGCCUCGGACGAAUACUACUGGGGGUAGAGCACUGUUAAGGCUAGGGGGUCAUCCCGACUUACCAACCCUUUGCAAACUCCGAAUACCAGUAAGUACUAUCCGGGAGACACACGGCGGGUGCUAACGUCCGUCGUGGAGAGGGAAACAACCCAGACCGCCAGCUAAGGUCCCAAAGUAUUGCUAAGUGGGAAACGAUGUGGGAAGGCUCAGACAGCUAGGAUGUUGGCUUAGAAGCAGCCAUCAUUUAAAGAAAGCGUAAUAGCUCAACUAGUCGAGUCGGCCUGCGCGGAAGAUGUAACGGGGCUAAGCAAUACACCGAAGCUGCGGCAAUGUCUUUUAGACAUUGGGUAGGGGAGCGUUCUGUAAGCCGUUGAAGGUGAAUCGUAAGGUUUGCUGGAGGUAUCAGAAGUGCGAAUGCUGACAUGAGUAACGACAAAGGGGGUGAAAAACCUCCUCGCCGGAAGACCAAGGGUUCCUGUCCAACGUUAAUCGGGGCAGGGUGAGUCGACCCCUAAGGUGAGGCCGAAAGGCGUAAUCGAUGGGAAACGGGUUAAUAUUCCCGUACUUCUGACUAUUGCGAUGGGGGGACGGAGAAGGCUAGGUGGGCCAGGCGACGGUUGUCCUGGUUCAAGUGCGUAGGCUUGAGAGUUAGGUAAAUCCGGCUCUCUCUAAGGCUGAGACACGACGUCGAGCUACCACGGUAGUGAAGUCAUUGAUGCCAUGCUUCCAGGAAAAGCCUCUAAGCUUCAGAUAGUCAGGAAUCGUACCCCAAACCGACACAGGUGGUCGGGUAGAGAAUACCAAGGCGCUUGAGAGAACUCGGGUGAAGGAACUAGGCAAAAUGGUACCGUAACUUCGGGAGAAGGUACGCUCUUGAUGGUGAAGUCCCUCGCGGAUGGAGCUGACGAGAGUCGCAGAUACCAGGUGGCUGCAACUGUUUAUUAAAAACACAGCACUGUGCAAAAUCGCAAGAUGACGUAUACGGUGUGACGCCUGCCCGGUGCCGGAAGGUUAAUUGAUGGGGUUAGCGCAAGCGAAGCUCUUGAUCGAAGCCCCGGUAAACGGCGGCCGUAACUAUAACGGUCCUAAGGUAGCGAAAUUCCUUGUCGGGUAAGUUCCGACCUGCACGAAUGGCGUAAUGAUGGCCACGCUGUCUCCACCCGAGACUCAGUGAAAUUGAAAUCGCUGUGAAGAUGCAGUGUACCCGCGGCUAGACGGAAAGACCCCGUGAACCUUUACUACAGCUUGGCACUGAACAUUGAACCUACAUGUGUAGGAUAGGUGGGAGGCUAUGAAGACGUGACGCCAGUUGCGUUGGAGCCGUCCUUGAAAUACCACCCUUGUAUGUUUGAUGUUCUAACUUAGACCCAUUAUCUGGGUUGAGGACAGUGCCUGGUGGGUAGUUUGACUGGGGCGGUCUCCUCCCAAAGAGUAACGGAGGAGCACGAAGGUGGGCUAAUCACGGUUGGACAUCGUGAGGUUAGUGCAAUGGCAUAAGCCCGCUUAACUGCGAGAAUGACGGUUCGAGCAGGUGCGAAAGCAGGUCAUAGUGAUCCGGUGGUUCUGUAUGGAAGGGCCAUCGCUCAACGGAUAAAAGGUACUCCGGGGAUAACAGGCUGAUACCGCCCAAGAGUUCAUAUCGACGGCGGUGUUUGGCACCUCGAUGUCGGCUCAUCACAUCCUGGGGCUGAAGUCGGUCCCAAGGGUAUGGCUGUUCGCCAUUUAAAGUGGUACGCGAGCUGGGUUUAGAACGUCGUGAGACAGUUCGGUCCCUAUCUGCCGUGGGCGUUGGAAGAUUGAAGGGGGCUGCUCCUAGUACGAGAGGACCGGAGUGGACGAACCUCUGGUGUUCGGGUUGUGUCGCCAGACGCAUUGCCCGGUAGCUAAGUUCGGAAUUGAUAAGCGCUGAAAGCAUCUAAGCGCGAAGCGAGCCCUGAGAUGAGUCUUCCCUGACAGUUUAACUGUCCUAAAGGGUUGUUCGAGACUAGAACGUUGAUAGGCAGGGUGUGUAAGCGUUGUGAGGCGUUGAGCUAACCUGUACUAAUUGCCCGUGAGGCUUAACCAU